rnacentral:lncRNA from 1 species
GUUUGUUAAUGAGGCAGUUUAUUAAUUAGAAUUUAUGUCCAUUGGAGACGGAGCUGUUUUCCUGAGGGAUGGGAAGUCUGUUAGAUUUUUGAUAGAUUAUUUCUUCUCUUCCUGUUUUAAUUGGAGGCUUAACAUACACACUUCACGGGAUGUGACUUGUGACAGGCACCCGUGUGCCGCCCCACCCCACCUCUCCCGGCCCUGCCAGGCCCGGGCUCCUGCCCUGUAGAACUCAGAGAUGGAGCCGGCGCCACUUGACUAGGGAUGACUAGUUUAGAUCUCCACAUUCGGUACAGUGGGAAUACCUGAGGGGAGAGUUUCAGAGUUAUUUGAGGAGCAGGGACGCCCACGGGUUCCAACCAAUGCCAUCCUUACUUGUUUUGUGUUUCGUUUUAGUUAUUAGCGAUGCGGUUGGAUGAGACUUUGUUGUUUCAUAUGAAAGAAUUUGCUUUGAGGGAGCCGGGAGCAGCACUACAAUCCGCAGGGCUCUGCACGGUGUUAUUUAUGACACCGUGAUGAUGACACUUCGGGUUCUUUUAAAGUUAUAUUUUUUAUUUACAUUCCUGUGUGAGGGAAGGGAGGGGAAGAGGAUGGGAGGAGCUUCCUGUUUGCAAGCCUGCAGGUGCGCCAGUGCUCAGCAGAGGGCACUGAAUGCUACGGAAUUCGAGUUAGCAGAUGGUUGUGAGCUGCCUGAACUACUUAAAUUUUUCAGGUAAAAGGGCAGCAAGCAUUCUUAAACUGCUGAGCGGCCCUCUUGGUGUUCUUUGCUGGGGCAGGGGGGUUAGCAGGGAGGAAGUGUAGAGAACUGGGAGAGUUGAGACCCUUCUUUUGAGCUUUAAGCUGCAUGUAGUUAAUAUCUGAAUGUGUGGCACAAUUGAAAAGGCAGUGGCUUUCAGGCUAGUCACUGCAUGGACUAGUAAGGCAGCUCUCUUGCUCCCAGCACUGUGCAUCUGAUUCUCCAUUCUCAAGGACCACCUGACAUGGUUAAACAGCCCUGGCUUAACGUUCCAGACACUGCUGCCAAUACUUGCGGCUGUUAGUUCCUGAUUUCUGCUUAAGGCUUUGCAGUUCUGCUUAUAGUCCUGUGAUCACACUUCCUCCUGUGGCAGCUGAACUCCACAUUUCCCAAAACAGGAUUUCCCUAUUCUGUAGAGAACUUCCAUGAUUGAAUCUUCCUGCUUCUGGAAAUAAAAUGGGUAGUUCCUUGCAUACAAAGCUUGGAGGGUGUCUCUCGUUCUUCUCUUCUUCUGCUUUUUCUCAUUUACCUGAGGAGAAUUUUAAAUGGAUCAAAGGAAUGAAUGUCAGCCACCAAACUGAGAAGUUGACUUGCCUUUGAUCACCUGUAACUUUGUUAGAAUAAUAAAUUCUGUAGAAAGCUAA